AGCCCGUUUGGGUUUGUCGUGGAUUUCCAUACAAGACAGACAUUUUCUUAAGUUUCCAGAUUCUUCAUUUACAAACACUUGUCUAAUAUUUUAAGCUUCCCACACGGCAGCAGACAUUUCCUUAUUUUGCUUCUCGGAAGUACUUGGGAAAAGAUAACCCAAAAGAUACUUCUAAGUGAAGCCCGUCCUUGCUGGUUGACCUCAGGAAACCAUGGGAAGUGUGUGGCCAUCUCUGCAAGGAUGCUGGGUGUGAAAAGGUUGCAGACAAAGGAACUGAUCCCAAGAAGAGUUUACUUGCCCAAGAUGUCACAGCUAUAAAAUGGAAGAACAUAAUUUAACUCCCAGAAAGUUGGACUUCCUAGAGUCUAUCACAAUGAGGAGAAAUGCACAUCUGAAUGUUUAAGUCAUCAUGGAGAAUAUUAAAGAAAUUUUUGUAUUUAGUUGCUAAUUACUAUUUACAUCUCCUUGACAUUUACAACAUAAUA
rnacentral:lncRNA from 1 species